rnacentral:sRNA from 1 species
GGGUGAAUACAAAUAAAUCUAAGAAGAAUAGAAGUCGUAAUGAUGGAUUCAUUGAUAAGGGCAACUCUAGGGUUCAUCAGAGACCCCCAUAAUUCUACCACUUCCUAAUCUCAACUCUCGUUGAUGAAACAUAGCAGAGUAGGGUUUAAGAAACAAUAUACCAAAGCCAAUAAGCAGACAAGCCAAUCUCUUGGUCGAGUCUACAAAUCUCUGGAAUUCGUAGAUCAGACAUCCAUUUGAACGUCUUUUGGACGCUAGAAGU